rnacentral:rRNA from 1 species
AACGAACGCUGGCGGCAUGCCUAACACAUGCAAGUCGAACGAGACCUUCGGGUCUAGUGGCGCACGGGUGCGUAACGCGUUGGAACCUGCCCUUAGGUUCUGAAUAACUCCCCGAAAGGGGUGCUAAUACCGGAUAAUGUCUUCGGACCAAAGAUUUAUCGCCUUUGGAUGGGCCCGCGUUGGAUUAGCUAGUUGGUAGGGUAAAAGCCUACCAAGGCGACGAUCCAUAGCUGGUCUGAGAGGAUGAUCAGCCACACUGGGACUGAGACACGGCCCAGACUCCUACGGGAGGCAGCAGUGGGGAAUAUUGGACAAGGGGCGAAAGCCUGAUCCAGCAAUGCCGCGUGAGUGAUGAAGGCCUUAGGGUUGUAAAGCUCUUUUACCCGGGAUGAUAAUGACAGUACCGGGAGAAGAAGCUCCGGCUAACUCCGUG